GAAAAGAGCUUGGGGUUUCUCACACCGCUGCAGAUGACACUUUCCUACCGACUCUGGAAUUCUCUUGCUCAUUCUCCGGGUUGUUUCUGGGUGUUCGUCAUGGCAGUGAAAGGAAACACCAGGAUUUCCCUAGAAAGCCAUCCCGUUCACCUGAUCGGUGGCGUGAAGGACAUUCACAUCCUCCUUGAGUUUCGCAUUUGAAAGUGAGGGGCGGGUGCGUGCAGCAGGUCCCCCCCCACCCCACCCCGCGCCCCGAACGUGCCUCCCGCAGUGGCACUAGGAGUGUGUGCAAUGAAAGGGACAGGACACCAGACACCAGAGGACCAUUCUGACCCUCCUUUCCUUCUCUCUUCGGAAAGCAGGAAAUAAAUCUCUUGGGUGAAAGAAAA